AACGAACGCUGGCGGCAGGCCUAACACAUGCAAGUCGAGCGAGGACUUCGGUCUUAGCGGCGGACGGGUGAGUAACGCGUGGGAACGUGCCCUUUGCUUCGGAAUAGCCCUGGGAAACUGGGAGUAAUACCGGAUGAGCCCUUUGGGGGAAAGAUUUAUCGGCGAAGGAUCGGCCCGCGUUGGAUUAGGUAGUUGGUGGGGUAAUGGCCUACCAAGCCGACGAUCCAUAGCUGGUUUGAGAGGAUGAUCAGCCACACUGGGACUGAGACACGGCCCAGACUCCUACGGGAGGCAGCAGUGGGGAAUCUUAGACAAUGGGGGAAACCCUGAUCGAGCCAUGCCGCGUGAGCGAUGAAGGCCUUAGGGUUGUAAAGCUCUUUCAGCUGGGAAGAUAAUGACGGUACCAGCAGAAGAAGCCCCGGCUAACUCCGUG
rnacentral:rRNA from 1 species